rnacentral:rRNA from 1 species
AGCAGCCGCGGUAAUUCCAGCUCCAAUAGCGUAUAUUAAAGUUGUUGCAGUUAAAAAGCUCGUAGUUGAAUUUCGGGAUUCGUCCAUUGGUCAGGCUUAACUGUCUGUACUGAUGUGUCGGAUUUCUACCUUCUGAAGAACCUUCAUGCCAUUAAUUUGGUGUGUUGGGGAAUCAGGACUGUUACUUUGAAAAAAUUAGAGUGUUUAAAGCAGGCUAACGCUUGAAUACAUUAGCAUGGAAUAAUGAAAUAGGACGUUCGAUCCUAUUUUGUUGGUUUCUAGGAUUGACGUAAUGAUUAAUAGGGAUAGUUGGGGGCAUUAGUAUUCAAUUGUCAGAGGUGAAAUUCUUGGAUUUAUUGAAGACUAACUACUGCGAAAGCAUUUGCCAAGGAUGUUUUCAUUAAUCAAGAACGAAAGUUAGGGGAUCGAAGACGAGUCAGAUACCGUCGUAGUCUUAACCAUAAACCUAUGCCGACUAGGGAUCGGAUGAUGUUAAAUUUUUUAUCGUACUCAUUCGGCG